UACGUAGGUGGCGAGCGUUGUCCGGAUUUACUGGGCGUAAAGCGCGCGUAGGUGGCUUUCUAAGUCCUGUCGUGAAAGGUCGCGGCCCAACUGCGACAGUGCGGAGGAUACUGGGGAGCUUGAGGGCAGCAGAGGCCGGUGGAAUUCCCGGUGGAGUGGUGAAAUGCGUAGAUAUCGGGAGGAACACCAGAGGCGAAGGCGGCCGGCUGGGCUGUACCUGACGCUGAGGCGCGAAAGCGUGGGGAGCGAACCGGAUUAGAUACCCGGGUAGUCCACGCCCUAAACGGUGGCAACUAGGUGUGGGGGGUAUCGACCCCCUCCGUGCCGCAGCUAACGCGUUAAGUUGCCCGCCUGGGGACUACGGCCGCAAGGUUAAA
rnacentral:rRNA from 1 species